rnacentral:rRNA from 1 species
AUUGAACGCUGGCGGCAGGCCUAACACAUGCAAGUCGAACGAGUGGCGGACGGGUGAGUAAUGUCUGGGAAACUGUCUGAUGGAGGGGGAUAACUACUGGAAACGGUAGCUAAUACCGCAUACCAUCGGAUGUGCCCAGAUGGGAUUAGCUAGUAGGUGGGGUAAGGGCUCACCUAGGCGACGAUUCCUAGCUGGUCUGAGAGGGUGACGAGCGACACUGGGACUAAGACACGGAACAAACGCCAACGGGAGGCAACAGGGGGGAAUAUGGCACGGUGGGCGCAAGCAUGAUGGAGCCAGUCCCCGUGUAAGAAGAAGACCUUCGGAUUGUAAAGUACUUUCAGCAGGGAGGCGUUGCCAGCAGAAGAAGCGCCGGCUAACUCCGUGCCAGCAGCCGCGGUAAUUC